rnacentral:rRNA from 1 species
AGCCUGAACGCUGGCGGCGUGGUUAAGACAUGCAAGUCGUACGGUGUAGCAAUACACAGUGGCGAACGGGUGAGUAAUGAAUCGCUAAUGUACCCCGGACUCUGUGAUAGCCAUCCGAAAGGAUGGGUAAUACCAGAUAAUGUGACGUGACCGCAUGGUUACGUUCCCAAAGGUCCGCCGGUCUGGGAGCAGGCGAUUUCGUAUCAGCUAGUUGGUGGGGUAACGGCCCACCAAGGUCGAUGACGCGUAGCCGGACUGAGAGGUUGGCCGGCCACAUUGGGACUGAGACACUGCCCAGACUCCUACGGGGGGCUGCAGUAACGAAUCUUCCGCAAUGCACGAAAGUGUGACGGAGCGACGCCGCGUGUGGGACGAAGCCCCUCGGGGUGUAAACCACUGUCAGAGGAUAGAAAGUUCUGAUCAUCCUCAGAGGAAGGCACGGCUAACUCUGUGCCAGCAGCCGC